CCCUUAGAUGUUCUGGGCCGCACGCGCGCUACACUGAUGCAUUCAACGAGUCUACAACCUGGUCUGAUAGGGCUGGGUAAUCUUUUGAAUGUGCAUCGUGAUUGGGAUAGAUGAUUGCAAUUUUUCAUCUUCAACGAGGAAUGCCUAGUAAACGCAAGUCAUCAGCUUGCAUUGAUUACGUCCCUGCCCUUUGUACACACCGCCCGUCGCUCCUACCGAUUGAAUGAUCCGAUGAAUAUCAUGGAUUGAGGAUGCAAGCAGGUUCGCCUGUCUUCAUCUUCGAGAAGUGAAGUAAAUCUUAUCAUUUAGAGGAAGGAGAAGUCGUAACA
rnacentral:rRNA from 1 species